ACGCUCGGUCCUACCACCCUGAACACGCCCUGUCUCGUGUGGUCUCAGAAGCGAAGCAGGGUCGGGCAAGGCUGUACUUGCGUGGGAGACACUUAGUUCUUAAAUCACAGAUCUCAGGGCACCUGGGUGGC
rnacentral:rRNA from 1 species